GGUUAAGUUAGAAAGGGCGCACGGUGGAUGCCUUGGCACUAGGAGCCGAUGAAGGACGGGACGAACACCGAUAUGCUUCGGGGAGCUGUAAGCAAGCUUUGAUCCGGAGAUUUCCGAAUGGGGAAACCCACCACUCGUAAUGGAGUGGUAUCCAUAUCUGAAUUCAUAGGAUAUGAGAAGGCAGACCCGGGGAACUGAAACAUCUAAGUACCCGGAGGAAGAGAAAGCAAAUGCGAUUCCCUGAGUAGCGGCGAGCGAAACGGGAUUAGCCCAAACCAAGAGGCUUGCCUCUUGGGGUUGUAGGACACUCUGUACGGAGUUACAAAAGAACGAGGUAGAUGAAGAGGUCUGGAAAGGCCCGCCAUAGGAGGUAACAGCCCUGUAGUCAAAACUUCGUUCUCUCCUGAGUGGAUCCUGAGUACGGCGGAACACGUGAAAUUCCGUCGGAAUCCGGGAGGACCAUCUCCCAAGGCUAAAUACUCCCUAGUGACCGAUAGUGAACCAGUACCGUGAGGGAAAGGUGAAAAGCACCCCGGAAGGGGAGUGAAAGAGAUCCUGAAACCGUGUGCCUACAAGUAGUCAGAGCCCGUUAACGGGUGAUGGCGUGCCUUUUGUAGAAUGAACCGGCGAGUUACGAUCCCGUGCAAGGUUAAGCAGAAGAUGCGGAGCCGCAGCGAAAGCGAGUCUGAAUAGGGCGCAUGAGUACGUGGUCGUAGACCCGAAACCAGGUGAUCUACCCAUGUCCAGGGUGAAGUUCAGGUAACACUGAAUGGAGGCCCGAACCCACGCACGUUGAAAAGUGCGGGGAUGAGGUGUGGGUAGGGGUGAAAUGCCAAUCGAACCUGGAGAUAGCUGGUUCUCUCCGAAAUAGCUUUAGGGCUAGCCUCAAGGUAAGAGUCUUGGAGGUAGAGCACUGAUUGGACUAGGGGCCCCUACCGGGUUACCGAAUUCAGUCAAACUCCGAAUGCCAAUGACUUAUCCUUGGGAGUCAGACUGCGAGUGAUAAGAUCCGUAGUCGAAAGGGAAACAGCCCAGACCGCCAGCUAAGGUCCCAAAGUAUACGUUAAGUGGAAAAGGAUGUGGAGUUGCUUAGACAACCAGGAUGUUGGCUUAGAAGCAGCCACCAUUUAAAGAGUGCGUAAUAGCUCACUGGUCGAGUGACUCUGCGCCGAAAAUGUACCGGGGCUAAACGUAUCACCGAAGCUGCGGACUGUUCUUCGAACAGUGGUAGGAGAGCGUUCUAAGGGCUGUGAAGCCAGACCGGAAGGACUGGUGGAGCGCUUAGAAGUGAGAAUGCCGGUAUGAGUAGCGAAAGAGGGGUGAGAAUCCCCUCCACCGAAUGCCUAAGGUUUCCUGAGGAAGGCUCGUCCGCUCAGGGUUAGUCGGGACCUAAGCCGAGGCCGAAAGGCGUAGGCGAUGGACAACAGGUUGAUAUUCCUGUACCACCUCCUCACCAUUUGAGNNNNNNNNNNNNNNNNNNAAGGCUGAGCUGUGAUGGCGAGCGAAAUAUAGUAGCGAAGUUCCUGAUUCCACACUGCCAAGAAAAGCCUCUAGCGAGGUGAGAGGUGCCCGUACCGCAAACCGACACAGGUAGGCGAGGAGAGAAUCCUAAGGUGAUCGAGAGAACUCUCGUUAAGGAACUCGGCAAAAUGACCCCGUAACUUCGGGAGAAGGGGUGCUCUGUUAGGGUGCAAGCCCGAGAGAGCCGCAGUGAAUAGGCCCAGGCGACUGUUUAGCAAAAACACAGGUCUCUGCGAAGCCGUAAGGCGAAGUAUAGGGGCUGACGCCUGCCCGGUGCUGGAAGGUUAAGAGGAGCGCUUAGCGUAAGCGAAGGUGCGAAUUGAAGCCCCAGUAAACGGCGGCCGUAACUAUAACGGUCCUAAGGUAGCGAAAUUCCUUGUCGGGUAAGUUCCGACCCGCACGAAAGGCGCAACGAUCUGGGCACUGUCUCAACGAGAGACUCGGUGAAAUUAUAGUACCUGUGAAGAUGCAGGUUACCCGCGACAGGACGGAAAGACCCCGUGGAGCUUUACUGCAGCCUGAUAUUGAAUGUUGGUACAGCUUGUACAGGAUAGGUAGGAGCCUUGGAAACCGGAGCGCCAGCUUCGGUGGAGGCAUCGGUGGGAUACUACCCUGGCUGUAUUGACCUUCUAACCCGCCGCCCUUAUCGGGCGGGGAGACAGUGUCAGGUGGGCAGUUUGACUGGGGCGGUCGCCUCCUAAAAGGUAACGGAGGCGCCCAAAGGUUCCCUCAGAAUGGUUGGAAAUCAUUCGCAGAGUGUAAAGGCACAAGGGAGCUUGACUGCGAGACCUACAAGUCGAGCAGGGACGAAAGUCGGGCUUAGUGAUCCGGUGGUUCCGCAUGGAAGGGCCAUCGCUCAACGGAUAAAAGCUACCCCGGGGAUAACAGGCUUAUCUCCCCCAAGAGUCCACAUCGACGGGGAGGUUUGGCACCUCGAUGUCGGCUCAUCGCAUCCUGGGGCUGUAGUCGGUCCCAAGGGUUGGGCUGUUCGCCCAUUAAAGCGGUACGCGAGCUGGGUUCAGAACGUCGUGAGACAGUUCGGUCCCUAUCCGUCGCGGGCGCAGGAAAUUUGAGAGGAGCUGUCCUUAGUACGAGAGGACCGGGAUGGACGCACCGCUGGUGUACCAGUUGUUCUGCCAAGGGCAUCGCUGGGUAGCUAUGUGCGGACGGGAUAAGUGCUGAAAGCAUCUAAGCAUGAAGCCCCCCUCAAGAUGAGAUUUCCCAUUCCGCAAGGAAGUAAGAUCCCUGAAAGAUGAUCAGGUUGAUAGGUCUGAGGUGGAAGUGUGGCGACACAUGGAGCUGACAGAUACUAAUCGAUCGAGGACUUAACCAC
rnacentral:rRNA from 1 species